rnacentral:lncRNA from 1 species
CGGAAUGUCUGCCCAACUCUCGCCAGAACUCGGUACUAAUUCAAUUUACACUCAAUAAUAACCAAUCGAUACUAAAAAUCGAAGAGAUAAAGGAAGGUCAAUUCCUCAAUAAAUAUUCAAGUCUUACAUCAUAAUCUACUCAAUUACUUUACAUUCCCAAAAUAUACAGCUUCCAAAAUCAAAUUUUAAACAAAUACAUUCACAAUUCUAAUCAAGUGAAGCAUCAAGUAAGCUUCUCCAGAAUUCCUCCCAUUUUAGCUCCUGUUAAGGAAAAACAAAUCUAACGGGUGAGCGGACGCUCGUGAGGCCAAGAAAAUAUGCAAGACAAGUAAUUCAAUAGCAAUAGCACUUACACAACAGUGACAACUAUAACAUUCAAGAAAUUCACAAUUUAUAAUAAACCCCCUUGAGUAGGAUGUAGGAGCUCUCAGGAGCUAAAUCUUUGUUUACUUUGCCCCAAGUUCAAUUCAAUACCUUCUCGUGACGACACCCCGUCACCCGGGUAGAUAAUUAAAUUCAUAGCACUUUACAUAUUUCAUUUAUGUUUCUGAGACGACUUGAGAGGCACCUCCCACCCAAAUCGGUAUGAUAUUUACUAUCGCUCAAUUUAUAGCUCUGAGACUGUCGCGCCCCAUUUUUUUGCGAUGGAAAAAGAAAGUGUUUAUAAAAAAUGUGAUUUAUUAAUAAUAAACGGAAAAGGACCAAGAAUGGGACUUAAAAAAAAUGCGACAAUUUGGGUCCAAAAUUUAGUCUAAAAGGGUUUUGAAGAAAAAUUAGGAGUCGCCACUUGGUAUCAAGUUUGGGUGUACCAAGUCACCCCAAAAUAUUUUUAACAAAAUAAAAUAAAAUAAAACCCUUUUAGACAACUCCAGGUCUUUGAAAACAAGAGAAAAUGAGUUCGGGAGUCACGGUUGAAGAAAGGGAAGGCAAAGGUUCAAUCAACUCAAACCUAAGACACCCUUUCAACCUAGUCUAAGCUAGUUGCGUGGUUUAGUCAAAAUUUUCUUAUUUUAACCCUUAAUUUAUCACAUUUUGAAUGUUUUCUACAUGGAUGCAAAUCUAAAUUCAUAAAAACAUCGAAAGGAACAAAUGUUCAUUCAAGGGUUUAAUUGAACCAAUCGCAUUAAAUGCAAAGGCCAAAAUAAUUCCUUGAAGGUGUCACGAGUAUGUCACGAAGCAAAUGAUGAAAUUAAAAGUAAAGAUAUAGAAAUUAAAUUAUAUACAUAGUUAUAAGUGAUCAAAGAAAAAGGAAAUGCAGCAUAAUGGGUACGGGAGACAAAAACUCGUGACAUAAUUUUCUUAUACAAGGAUUAAUGGGGUAUUUAAACUAAAGAGUUAUAAUCACCCAUAUCCAUGUUCAAAAAUAAUUCUCCUAAUAUGAACAAGCAAAUGAACUAACUUAUUUCACAAUUUCUUAAAUGAAGUGCAAUUCUAAAUGAUUUGAUUAACACAUAUAGAGGGUAGGGGGUAGAGGAUAAUAUAAUAGAAAAUAUCAUGCAAAUGAGAAAAUUCUAAAAAAUAAAAUAUACAUGGAAAUGUAAUGGAUAUCACACAAAAGAUGAAUCUAAUGCAUGAACAAUCUAAGGGUAUAGCGUUGGACUAACCCAUUUCUAAAAAUACUUACUAGCGUUGGACUAGCAAGUAAGCGGAGGGAGAAGCCACAACUAGCGUUGGACUAGUGUGGUGACGUUAUGCAUUAACAAUAUAUAGUGAAGCAAAUAAAGCAUAAAUUAAAACAAAUAAACACAUAAGAGCACGUAACACAUAACACGUAAGCAUAAUAUCUAUAUGCCAAAGUCCUAAGAAAAGCGGAUAAAACACAUAACACAUAAGCCACAUAAACACACAACUUAUCUAUUACAUCGGGGAGCGCCUGACUACAAUCUAGGAGGGAAAAAUAUAAUAAAACAAAUCUAAUUAUCCUAUCUAUUACAUUUUUGAGGUAUUUAAAUACCUCUCGAAUCAUUAUAAAAAUUAACUAAAACGUAUAUAAGAAAAUUUGAAUGAAUAUUUGAAUCAAAUAAAUAAAGCAUAUAAAAAUACAUAAACACAUAGGAACACAUAGAAGCACAUAAGAGCACGUAAUUGACAUUGAAAUAAUAAAAAUAGGGGUACCUCCCGUUUGAAGUGGUGACUAAAUGGGAAAUUGGAUUUGCCCUAUUUACCUCCAAAAUUAACAAAAUCAUCAAGGCACCAAUCUAAUUAACAAAUAAAUCAUAACAAAUGGAAAUAAAAAUAAAAUCAAUCAAUUGAAACACUUAAAUGAAGUGUAAUCAAUGACUAUAGAAGAAAAGCAACUUCUAUUUAAGCAAUCCAAUCUGUUAGGGAUCUAAUUGCAAGAAUAAACAAAGUUUUGGGGUAAAUUAUAAUUAUCAUAAAGAUAUGGGAUAAAAAUUAAAUAAAAAUAAAUUUUAGGGACCUAUUUGCAAUUAUAUUAAGGACCUGAUUGAAAGAAAUCAAAAUAUUUAGGGCCAUAGAGAAAAUGCUCAAAGGUACAGGGACUGAUUUUCAAUUUCGUAACCAGAUUUCUCAGCCAAAUGGGCCACUGGGCCAUCAUUUUAUUUAUUUCUGGGCCAAAAACUACCUAAGCCCAACCGAAACCCAAAGGAAAAUAAAUGGCCCAGCCCAUCUCUUUUGUCAAACAAACCCAGCUGAAAUACAUGGGAUUCAACUCCCAAGCCCAUCCGUAAAACCCAAAAAAAAGAACUAAAACCCAAGUCAAAAUCCAACUAAAAACAAACGCAAGCCCACUAAAACAAAUAACCCAACCCACUUUCCUUUUCUUUCUUUUCUUUUCUUUCUCUUUUCUUCCCCAUACGUUUCCUUUCCUUCUUCUUCGGCCAACCGAAGAAGCUUCAGCUGGCAGCCAUGGUGGCCGCCGGUGGCGCCGCCGCCACCGGACCGCCGCCGCCGAUGACCUCUCCGGUCACCAAAAAUCCUCAAAAUACACCUCCCCACUCGAUUUUUCGCGUAGAUUCCAUUUUCGGAGUUUGUUUUUACAAAAGAUGAUCUGAAAGUGGCCAAAAUGUCAAAAUACAGUCCAGUUUUUAUUUUUUAAAACACCCAAAUCUUUCACCAAAAAUCAUAAAAAAUAUAUUACAAUACUCCUUACAACUUCUGCAAUACAACUAUGAUUUAAUCCGGCAAGAAAACAACAUAAAAAACUAAAAUAAAUCAAAACAGUCCCCAAAAUUCAUUUUUUGUUAUUUUUGCAUUUUCACAAGCAAUUAACAUGCAUUCACAGAAAUCAUUUUUUUUUAUGUUUAUUCAUGGAUUCCCCAAAAAUUCAACAAUAUCAGUAACAACAACAAACGAAGCCAAGGGACAAACAAACAUCAAAUCAUGUAUUUAAUUUAAUAAAUUAAGGAAAGGAAAAAACUGAAAAAGAUGAAAGAAGAAUAAAUACCUCAAUGAAAAUUGUAGUCUCUUGACAAAAUUUGAUGAAAUUACAAGCUCCAAUAAUUUUUAUUGGCUUUGCCCUGUCCAAGAGAAAAUCUGAGAGUGAGUAUUUUAUUUUGCUAAAAAUGAGGAAGAGAAUCUGAGAGAGAGCCGAAAGAUUUUUCUUCCCUUCUGCACCCGAGGCCUGAGAGAGGGAGCAAAUGAGGGAGGUCUAUGGCAAUUUUUCUUCUUCUGCUUCUUUUGCUUUCUUUGCGGCCAAAGGACCUCUGAGAGUCAGUCCCCGAGAGAGUUUUCUUUUCUUCUCUCUUUUGUCCGUUGCUCUCCCGAGAGAAAUGAGGAUUCCGUCGUCUCCCAAAUGAGUUUUCCCUUGAGUCCUUUUUAUGCAAUUUUCUUCUUAUUGGAUCCGUUGAGAGCCUUUCCUAGUCAAAAGGUGGUGAUGCCAUCAUGAGUCAUCAUGAUGGCUCAUGAUGGCUCAUGAUGAUGUUUUUUUUUAUUUUAAAAAACUAAACUUUUUUUUUGUUUUUCUUUUUUUUCUCUUUUUUUUCUUUUCUAAAAAAAAUCUGCAAUUAUAAGAAAAAUUUGCACAUUAAGACGCAAGAAAAUAAAUAACUUAAUAGAUAGAAAAAAUUCAAGAAAAUAUUAAAAUUGACAAAAUUUUGGUGUCUACAGCUUGCCCCUCUUUGUCUAGAGUUUCGAAGAAAGUCAAGACAAAGACGUAGACACCAAAUUGCUUACCUGUUUUUUCUAACUGCAUCUGAGUUAAAAUAAACAAGUCAACACUUGGUUGAAAUUAUUGAACACAAGAAGUCAUAAAGUUGCAAAACACGUGACCGAACUCAUAUAGAGUUGCCUACGUAUCCCACCAUGGGAAUCAGGUCAAACGUAGUUCGAAUGCAAGUGAACCACAAUGAAACAAGUACAUUGACCAACUGUGAACUUUGCAAAGUCGAAAAAGUUUGGUCUCUCAGAACUUCUAAACAUGAAACACAAAAUGAAUGAGAAAGCACAAUUAUUAAUCAAAACAAUCAAGAAAAGUGACUUGUCAUAAUUAGAAAAAGAUGCGCGGAGGGACGCGGUUACGCUCCAAGAAGGGGGAUAGAAGAGUGCGCGGUGGACGCAGAGACUCACCAACAGAAAUUUAAAUAUGAUGAUGAAGGGGAGGUAGAAGGGUGCGCGGUCAACAGGAAUUUAAAUUGAUGCGCGGAGGGACGCGAUUACGCUCCAACAGAAAUUUAAAUUGUCAAGAAUGGGAGGUAGAAGGGUGCGCGGUGGACGCUGAGACUCACCAACAAGAAUUUAAAUUGAUGCGCGGAGGGACGCGAUUACGCUCCAACAGAAAUUUAAAUUGUCAAGAAUGGGAGGUAGAAGGGUGCGCGGUGGACGCUGAGACUCACCAACAAGAAUUUAAAUUGAUUCGCGGAGGGACGCGAUUACGCUCAAACAGGAAUUUAAAUUGUCAAGAAUGGGAGCUAGAAGGGUGCGCGGUGGACGCUGAGACUCACCAACAAGAAUUUAAAUUGAUGCGCGGAGGGACGCGAUUACGCUCCAACAGAAAUUUAAAUUUGUCAAGAAUGGGAGAUAGAAGCGUGCGCGGUGGACGCUGAGACUCACCAACAAGAAUUUAAAUUGAUGCGCAGAGGGACGCGAUUACGCUCCAACAGAAAUUUAAAUUUGAUCUUGAUUUGAUGAUUUUUUUUUUUUAAAUAACAAAUUGGUGGAUAGACCUGAAUGAGAAAUUAAACAUGGAACUGACCCGAGCAAGAAUUUAUCAUGGGACUGACUCGAGAAUUUAAACAUGGGACUGAGCCGAACAGGAAAUUAAACAUGGGACUGACCCGAACGAGAAAUUAAACAUGGGACUGACCCGAACGAGAGAUUAAAACAUGGGACUGACCCGAACAAACUUUAAUCGUGGGACUGGCCCGAAUAAAAAUGAAAAUCAAGGGAUUGACCCAAAAAAAUGAAAAUCAAGGGAUUGACUCAAAAAUCGUGGGACUGGCUCGAGAAUUUAAACAUGGGACUGACCCGAACAGGAAAUUAAACAUGGGACUGACCCGAACAGGAAAUUAAACAUGGGACUUACCCGAACGAGAAAUUAAACAUGGGACUGACCCGAACGAGAAAUUAAAACAUGGGACUGACCCGAACAAACUUUAAUCAUGGGAAUGGCCCGAAUAAAAUUAAAAUCAUGGGACUGACCCGAACAAGGGAUUUAAAACCAUGGGACUGACCCGAAUAAGAUUUAACAUCAUGGGACUGGCCCAAACAAAAUUAAAAUCAUGGGACUGACCCGAAUAAAAUUUAAAAGUCAUGGGACUGACCCGAAUAAAGCUUAAAAUCAUGGGACUGACCCGAAUAAAUCUUAAAAUCAUGGGACUGGCCCGAACAAGGGAUUUAAAAUCAUGGGACUGACCCGAAUAAGAUUUAACAUCAUGGGACUGGCCCAAACAAAAUUAAAAUCAUGGGACUGACCCGAACAAAAUCAAAAUCAUGGGACUGACCCGAAUAAAAUUUAAAAGUCAUGGGACUGACCCGAACAAGAUUUUAAAAGCCAUGGGACUGACCCGAACAAGAGAUUUAAAAUCAUGGGACUGGCCCGAAUAAAAUUUAAAAGUCAUGGGACUGGCCCGAAUAAAAUUAAAAUCAUGGUGCACACUAGUGGGACAAACCCAACGGCUAGCGGCGGAUGCAAAUGAAAGGCACACUAGUGGGACAAACCCAACGGCUAGCGGCGGAUGCAAUUAAAAGGCACACUAGUGGAACAAACCCAACGGCUAGCGGCGAAUGCAAGUAAAAGUGUGUGGUGAAAGCAAAUGAAAGGCACACUAGUGGGACAAACCCAACGGCUAGCGGCGGAUGCAAAUGAAAGGCAUACUAGUGGGACAAACCCAACGGCUAGCGGCGGAUGAAAAUGAAAGCCACACUAGUGGGACAAACCCAACGGCUAGUGGCGAAAGCAAAUGAACAUGCUUACUGGCGGGACAAACCCAGCUCCAGCAGCGAUGAAAAUGAAAUGCUUACUGGCGGGACCAACCCAGCUCCAGUAGCGAUGUAAACGAAAUGCUUACUGGUGGGACAAACCCAAUGGCUAGCGGCGGAAGCAAAUGAAAGGCACACUAGUGGGACAAACCCAACGGCUAGCGGCGGAUGCAAAUGAAAGGCACACUAGUGGGACAAACCCAACGGCUAGCGGCGGAUGCAAUUAAAAGGCACACUAGUGGGACAAACCCAACGGCUAGCGGCGAAUGCAAAUGAAAGGCACACUAGUGGGACAAACCCAACGGCUAGCGGCGGAUGCAAAUGAAAGGCACACUAGUGGGACAAACCCAACGGCUAGCGGCGGAUGCAAAUGAAAGGCACACUAGUGGGACAAACCCAACGGCUAGCGGCGAAUGGCACAUUGGGACAAAGGCUAGCACGUGGGACAAACCCAACGGCUAGCGGCGGAUGCAAAUGAAAGGCACACUAGUGGCACAAACCCAACGGCUAGCGGCGGAUGCAAUUAAAAGGCACACUAGUGGCACAAACCCAACGGCUAGGGGCGGAUGCAAAUGAAAGGCACACUAGUGGGACAAACCCAACGGCUAGCGGCGGAUGCAAAUGAAAGGCACACUAGUGGGACAAACCGCAAAUGAAAGGCACACUAGUGGGGGCUAGCGGAUGCAAAUGAAAGGCACACUAGUGGGACAAACCCAACGGCUAGCGGCGAUUGCAAUUAAAAGGCACACUAGUGGGACAAACCCAACGGCUAGCGGCGAAUGCAAUUAAAAGGCACACUAGUGGGACAAACCCAACGGCUAGCGGCGGAUGCAAAUGAAAGGCACACUAGUGGCACAAACCCAACGGCUAGCGGCGGAUGCAAUUAAAAGGCACACUAGUGGGACAAACCCAACGGCUAGGGGCGGAUGCAAAUGAAAGGCACACUAGUGGGACAAACCCAACGGCUAGCGGCGGAUGCAAAUGAAAGGCACACUAGUGGGACAAACCCAACGGCUAGCGGCGAAUGCAAUUAAAAGGCACACUAGUGGGACAAACCCAACGGCUAGCGGCAAUGCAAAAAAGGCACACUGGUAGUGGGACAAACCCAAAUGCAAAUGAAAGGCACACUAGUGGGACAAACCCGGCAAAGGCACACUAGUGGGACAAACCCAACGGCUAGCGGCGGAUGCAAAUGAAAGGCACACUAGUGGGACAAACCCAACGGCUAGCGGCGGAUGCAAAUGAAAGGCACACUAGUGGGACAAACCCAACGGCUAGCGGCGGAUGCAAAUGAAAGGCACACUAGUGGGACAAACCCAACUGCUAGUGGCGAAUGCAAAUGAAAGGCACACUAGUGGGACAAACCCAACGGCUAGUGGCGAAAGCAAAUGAACAUGCUUACUGGCGGGACAAACCCAGCUCCAGCAGCGAUGAAAAUGAAAUGCUUACUGGCGGGACAAACCCAGCUCCAGUAGCGAUGUAAACGAAAUGCUUACUGGUGGGACAAACCCAGCUCCAGUAGCAAUGAAAAUGAAAUGCUUUUGACAAUCGGACAGUGGGAUCAAAACCCGAGCCUGCCGUGAUGAACUUGAUCUGAUUGAUUUUUUUUUAUUUUUGUCUGGUGAUUUUUCUUUUCUUUUCGCUUUUCUUUUUGACUUUUGAGAAUCUUUCCAAAAAAUUAAUUUGCCCCAGUAUGAUGAAUUUUUGCAACUUGAGUCCAUAGUUGAUUCUGUAUCGCCAUGUUGUUGCACCUUUUAAUCAAAUUUGCUUGCAACAUUUUCGAUUUGCCUUUGUUCACCAGAGGACUCCUUCCAACAUCGAUUCCAGUGCGAGGUGUGAUUGUUUUCGUCCAUGCAUGGAAUUUUUCUGCAAAAGAGAAAAAACAAAAGAAUUGCCACCAUCAUUUGAUCCGUUUGCCUUUGGAGAAUCGCGUAAACAUAAGCCUUUUGAUGCCUUCGUCAAAGUUGGCCGCGGCAUCUGAUUUGGUUGGAUUUAUCACUUCAAAUGUCUCUGCUUUUCCAGACUGACCGGGUUAGCAUUUUGCCAUAUUGCGAAACCUUCGUAAUUGGUUUGGCUGCACCUUAGCCCUUUUUAGGAGAUGACUGAACCCAAGUAUGCUUCGAAUAAACCACGGGGGUUGUCAUUUACCACAAUUCAAUGAUAAAGCAUGAGGUAUGCAAGAAAAAUUCACAUGUCAUGUAAAAAUGAAUAUGCACAAGAAUGCACUCACUACUAUUUGUGCUUAAAUUCUACAAAAAUGCCAUGAAUGCAAGAAAUUUGGUAAAAAUGAGUUUCCUAAGAAUGUAUUUGCCAAAGAAUGUUUUACAAAAUGACACAGUUUUGGCCAAAGGAUGCGUAUUCGAAUCUCUGAAUAUCCUUGUUCUGGAAUUCAAUAUUGGCAGAGGUAUGACCAAAAUGAGGAGAAAUCCAAAUGGAUCAAACCGCCAGUUGUUCCUCCUUGUGCUUGCUCAUUGUGGAAAUCCUACCUUGGCGCCCUUUCGGGUUUUCACCAAGGUUGCCACCACUCCUUUUCUUUUGUUUUGUUUUUGCUUUUGUUUUUCUCUUUUUCUUUUGUUUUUCUCCUUUUCUUUUCUCUGUUUUUUCCUUUCUUUCGAGGUGCCCUUUCGGGUUUUCACCUAAGGAAGCAAUGGAAGGGAUCAACUAUAAUCGCCUCAGGAGUGUGAGUUGAAAAAAAAAAUGCUGACAUCAGUAAAAUGCGCUUCCCUUAUAGACUUAAGCGAAGGCAUUAUGGACAUCACUUGCCAGUUGAUUAGCAAAAUCCCUAAUAGAAAUGCAGCAAGUGACGAAAGCCAGGACCUUUGGGCUUUUGUAAUGAGGUCAGGUGGGGUGUUUUUCAAGAAAGGUUGAGGCUUGAAAACAGACUUGAUGAAAGGUGUGAAAUAACCUGAGAUUGCAUCAUUUUUAGAUCAUCUCCGAAUUUUGAACGAAACCGAGGAAAAUUUGCCCCAGUUUGCUUGGAUUUUUCUUUCUUUGCAUUUUCUUCACUGCAUUCUUCUCACUUUUUGCAUUUUUCUUCAAAAACUAAAUUUGCCCCAGUAUGGGGUUCUUUUUUCUUCCUUUUCAUCUCUCUUUCAAAAUAAAUUUGCCCCAGUGUGGGGUUCUUUCUUUUCCUCAGAUCUCUUUCAAAGAUAAAUUUGCCCCAGUGUGGGGUUUUUCUUUCCUUUCUGAUCAUUUUCAAAAUGAAUUUGCCCCAGUGUGGGGUUUGCAAUUCUCAGGGGUUGCCAAACGAAAAUUAUUGUUCUGAUAGCUCAAAAGAGACGACUAGGGAUGAAAUAUUUUGAUUGGAAAGGAACAUGGCCUGACUUUUGCCUCGUCUCUUGCAUGAUUUUCUAGAGGGCAUUUGCAUAAUCAAAUAAAGAACUUCUUACACAUGUCUGAGUUGAUAGGUCGAGGGAACGUCUAUCCUUCCAUCUCUGCCCAAAAUGAGUACUCCUCCAGGCAAUACCUCUUGAACAUCCAAUAAGCUUUGUCAAUUUGAAUCACAUUAGCACUUUGUUCCCUUUUUCAGGAUAUCGGUGGCGGACCCUUUUGUUAUGAACAUAGGCCAUGCAUUUUGACAAUAUUGGUCAUGGCACAUAGCAUUCAACUCCUUUUCAUCAGAAUCAAUCGUUAAUGACACUGUUUUAACCAAUCAACUUCCAACCUGGCCGGAAAGAGAUUUUCUCAAAUGAAGGGAUUUAUCAAUGAAGGAAUUUUCAAAUGAAAGAAUUUUUCCGGUGAAGGGAUUCCUUAACGAAGGGAUUUUUCCAGUAAAGUGAUUUUUAAUGAAGGGAUUUUUCAAUGGUUUUUCUCAAUGAAAACUUUCUCAAUGAAGGAUUUUCUUAAUGAAGGCUUUCUCAAUGGAGGGAUUUUCAAUAAAGGGUUUCAUCAAAUUCUUAAACAGUGAUAUUCAAAGAGUCAAAUAACUUCACCUUUGGCCAUCUCAAAGAAUUAACAAAAAAUCAAAACAAUAAUCAAAUAAACAAAUGAUCAAAUUGCAAAAGAUGCUUUCAUUAAGCUAUGUACAUAUGCAAGAAAAAGUUUUCCUGAAUUUUAGCAAAUGACAACCCCUAGAUUUAUCAAAAUUCCCUUCGAGAGGGAAGAUAGUCAGCCAUCCAAAUUGUGAAGAGCUCUUUCAAGACCUUCAAAUUUCGUCAUUGGAGGUGGAUGCCUCAAAGGUGUCCUUGUGUUCAGGAAAAGGAUUUGUACUUAUAUUUGGUCCUUGUUCACUCUUUUCUCUUAGCACUAUUUCCCCUACCUCGAUCAUAUCUUGGACUCUGUUCUUAAGUGCUCUGCAGUCGGCGGUUGGGUGGCCAGGUGCCCCCGAAUGAUAGGCACAGGUGGCCUGUGGAUUGUAUUCAGCAGGAGCGCCAUGGGGGUAAGCUGGAGGGGGAAUUACGCCGAUUUUACCAGCGGCCUUUAAUUGUUCAUACAAUUGGUCCAGAGGCCUGCCAAGAUUAGUAAAAGUGCGAUAGCGAUUUUGCCUUUGAGGUUCAGUGGGUUGAGGGUAGUUGUAGGUGAGUCCAUUUGGUGGAGGAAGUCGUUGAUUGUAAAGGGGCCGGGGUCGAAUUUGUUGAAAAUUAGGCUGAGUUAUUUGAAAAGGGACUACAGGUGGAUUAGGAUAGUUUGGGCGAGGUCGAGGGUGGUGGAUAUUGGCGUGAUAUACAGGAUGAGAGUUUGGAUAAUGAGGGUAAGGGUUGGAGUAGGUAGGGUAUCGUCGAAAUCUGGGUUUUGGGGUAGGGUUUUGAUCCCAGACAAAAGCAGUUUCCCCCUCUUUCUUUUGGAAUUGUUGCUUCUUCCCAUUACUACCUUGGCUUUGCAAAGCAUCCAACUGCGAUUUGAGGGCAUACACAUUAACAAUCUUUCCAGCCUUCACGAAAUCAUCAAAUUCCUCAAGCUUAUUAACAAUUGCGGCAAAUGAGCAUCCAGUCAUGCGAAAAAUUUCUUCAAAGUACGGCGGAUCAUGUGCCUUAAUGAAAGUUCGUAUGAUUUCGUCCUCAGUCAUUGGUGGCUCGACUUUGGCAGCUAUUUUCCUCCAUCUCUUGGCAUAAGUCUUGUGAUCCUCAGAGGGUUUUCUUUUUGUCCCUUCCAGCGUAGUCCGUGUUGGAGCUAGCUCACAAUUAUACUCGUAUUGCCUUACAAAAGCGUUGGACAAAUCAAGCCAGGUCUUUGCUUCUUCGGGUUUCAGCUUGGAGUACCAGUCGAGUGCAUCCCCCUCCAGACUUUCUGGGAAUAGCCUCAAAGGCAGAUUUUCAUCAUCUGUUGGCCUACCCAACUUGUUGGCGAACAAUCGGAGGUGUGUUUUGGGAUUGCCCGUGCCAUCGUAUUUAUUGAAUUUCGGAGUUUUGAACCCCUCAGGUAAUUGCACAUUUGGGAAAAGACAAAGCUCGUCAUAGUCCAGCACUCCUUGCUUGUUCAACCCCUGACUCUUUCUUAUAAACUCAUCAAAGCGGUCCAGGCGCUUAAGCAAUUUCAUAUCAAUUGGAGCAGAAGAUUCCCCCAUUUCUGGCUUGUUUUGGAAAGUGUGCUCCGGUAUCACAGGCUCUGCGGUAGUUUGAUAAAAAACUGGAUUCGGAUGUAUGUUUGGGUCACCUUGAGGUGGAAACCCUUGCCCGUAAAGAGGAUAGAAUGGAGGAUUUUGAGUGUAAGCAUAUUGCGGGUUUUCAAACGUGGUUUGAUUUGGAGGAAUAACAAAUGGUAAGGUGGUUUGAAUCGGAGGAAUAAUAAAUGGUUCGGAUUGUGGCUGUGUGGCAGGCCCAAGCUCAGGUUGCACUCCGCUACUAAUGAGCUCACCGAUCAAUUUCUUUUGAGCGGCCAUUUCGGAUGCCAUUUCUCCAAAUCUUGUGAGCAAUUCAGUCAACUGAACUCCAGGACUUGCGGCUUCCGGCUGGGCAGUUGCAACAGCCUUAUCGGAUGAUUCUGGCGGAGCACUCAUGUUUACACGAUUCCUCUGUGCUUGAGUACGGGAUCGCGUUAUGAUGGGGCUCCGACGAGAAGUUAUGUUUAAAUAUUACCUGAGAAGUUUUGAAAAGAUUGCCUUUAGAUUUAACCCUUGCUUAGUUAUUCUAAUAAAAAUAAAGAAAAAGGAAAAAAGAAAAAGACAAGAGUUAGUAGAUAUCCAGAAAAUUCGGAUGCAUGUCCUAUGGGGGAACCCUUUUUGUGCCAAGGGUAGGCCUAGCAUGAAAAUGCAAUCCUCUGAGGCAGGCACUAUACCGUACCUGAUAGAUCUGAUCAACUCAUUGAGUGAAAAAUAAUUUAAAAAAAAAAAAAAAUUUAAUCAAUUGGAGGGACGAGAGACAUUUAUCAAAAUGAGGUCAACGUCCGAAUGGAUGGAUCACUUUUGAUCGGUACAAGAUUUUGCAAAAACGCACGGGUUUGACCUUGACGAACUUCCUAUCAAAGAGAUUGGAAUUCGUUGAUAAAAUUUCUCAGUGAAUUACGGGUCAAAACCCUAAUUGAUCAAGUGAUUGGAUGCAAUGGACGGUUUUCUUCAAAAUUGACUAGAUUUUUCCCAAUUUGGAAUUUGACAAUGAAACCCUAAUAGGGCAAAUGAGUUGAAUGAAAUUGAUAAUUUAUUUAAAAUCGACCGAAUUACCCUAAAAAGGGAAACAGGUCAAAUGAAUUGAAUGAAAUUUAUCCAAAAUUAAUCAGAUCACCCUAAAAAGGGUAAAUUGAUCAAACGAAACUUGUUUUAUUCAAAAUCGGCUCGGUUGCCCUAAAAAUGGGUAAAUUGGUCAAAUGAAUGAAAUUGAAUUAGGGAUUUAUUCAAAAAUCAGCCGAAUGACCCUAAAAAGGGUAAAUUGGUCAAAAGACCCUAAAAAGGGUAAUUUGGUCAAUUGAAUUGAUAAUUUAUUCAAAAGCGACCGAAUGACCCUAAAAAGGGUAAAUUGGUCAAAAGACCCUAAAAAGGGUAAAUUAGUCAAAUGAAUUGACGAUUUAUUGAAAAUCGACCAGGUAACCCUAAAAAGGGUAAAUUGGUCAAACGAAUGGUUUAUUUAAAAUCGAUUAUGAAUUGACAAAAUGGAUUGAUCGAAUCGGUCGGCCAUUGGUGGUUUCAGAAAAUUAGUCUAUGAGCCUUCUAAAAUCACAAUUUGGCCUCAAUUUAUUUAUCAUCUCAAUAGGAGGAAUCAUUUGUGAAUUUCUUCAAAUUAAUGUCCUUCACGCAAGGGAUUUUUACCAAUUUUUGAUAAAAUGGCCAAAAAGUGAUUAUUAGAUGCUCAUAUUCCAAAGAUCACUCUAUGAAAACGAUCGGAUCUUACCUUACCUUGUGCACUACCCCUUUGGAUGGUACAAAAUGUAAACGUGCAAGUUUCACUGGAUUAAAUAUCCGAGACACAAGGUGGCUUAUUCCUAAACACGGGAUUCCCUAUGUGGCAUUCCCUUCCUAGGGUUUAUGCAUGAUGUCAUUUUAUUAAAGCAAUUAAAUAUGCAAUGAAAUAAUUGAAAUAUGACCUAAAAGUGCCCCCUUUAAAUGUCGGAGUAAGCCUAAAAUGAUGUGCAAUACAUAUGCAUAUGCAAUUGAUUGAAAUUUAAACAUGCUUGAUAUAAGAGGCGGUCUUAUCUUAAACGAGUACCAUGUUAGAACUCUUAUUUCUAAAAUUUGUGUAUGCAGAAAAGGGAAAACAAGGAGAGGUUAGUUCAACAAGUAACAUAUAACAUAUUGUGACAAUAAAUGAUACAAGAAUAAAAAGUAAAUAAAGCAAAGAAAGAGGGGUGAAAUCCCUCCCCUCGUGCUUAGUGUUCCUAAUUGGAUAGGCUGACUCUAUCCUAGGUAAUUUCUAAUAUGGAUGCAUGAGGUUUGGUUUACUAAUGCAUCUAGACUCGAUAAGGUUUCAGGCUCCCAAGCCUUCAGACCAAAAAAUUAAGGGUCAUCAAUCCCAAAACCUUCGGUCGGUGGCUUGAGUGAUCCCUUAGGCAUCGCUAUGGGCGCAGAGCACACCAUCCGCCUACCUAAGGAAAUCGAUCCUAAUCCUACAAGGAGAUGUGGGAUGGCGCCCACGAGAAAAAUAAAAAAGGGUAAAAAUAAUGCAUGCACGUAUGAAGUGCUUCCUUUUGAGGGGAGAGAUUAUAAUUAAAACACGUGUGGAGGCUCUACGGUGAUACUUUCCCCCACCCAAAUGCAAAGCGCGAUACGAAUAAAUAAAUAAAUAAGCCAUUCAUCACAUACACGUAAGACGAGGAACGAUUACGAGUGUGAAAUGCAAAACAUCCUAAAAAAGAAAAAUGUAACCUAAAACAUCCAAAUAUGAUAAAUAUAAGGGUUAAAAAAGAGAAAAGACGACUAAGCCAAGUGCUUGGACUCUCUAACUCCCCAGUGGAGUCGCCAAGUUGUCGCGCCCCAUUUUUUUGCGAUGGAAAAAGAAAGUGUUUAUAAAAAAUGUGAUUUAUUAAUAAUAAACGGAAAAGGACCAAGAAUGGGACUUAAAAAAAAUGCGACAAUUUGGGUCCAAAAUUUAGUCUAAAAGGGUUUUGAAGAAAAAUUAGGAGUCGCCACUUGGUAUCAAGUUUGGGUGUACCAAGUCACCCAAAAAUAUUUUUAACAAAAUAAAAUAAAAUAAAACCCUUUUAGACAACUCCAGGUCUUUGAAAACAAGAGAAAAUGAGUUCGGGAGUCACGGUUGAAGAAAGGGAAGGCAAAGGUUCAAUCAACUCAAACCUAAGGCACCCUUUCAACCUAGUCUAAGCUAGUUGCGUGGUUUAGUCAAAAUUUUCUUAUUUUAACCCUUAAUUUAUCACAUUUUGAAUGUUUUCUACAUGGAUGCAAAUCUAAAUUCAUAAAAACAUCGAAAGGAACAAAUGUUCAUUCAAGGGUUUAAUUGAACCAAUCGCAUUAAAUGCAAAGGCCAAAAUAAUUCCUUGAAAGUGUCACGAGUAUGCAAAUGAUGAAAUUAAAAGUAAAGAAAAGAAAUUAAAUUAUAUACAUAGUUAUAAGUGAUCAAAGAAAAAGGAAAUGCAGCAUAAUGGGUACGGGAGACAAAAACUCGUGACAUAAUUUUCUUAUACAAGGAUUAAUGGGGUAUUUAAACUAAAGAGUUAUAAUCACCCAUAUCCAUGUUCAAAAAUAAUUCUCCUAAUAUGAACAAGCAAAUGAACUAACUUAUUUCACAAUUUCUUAAAUGAAGUGCAAUUCUAAAUGAUUUGAUUAACACAUAUAGAGGGUAGGGGGUAGAGGAUAAUAUAAUAGAAAAUAUCAUGCAAAUGAGAAAAUUCUAAAAAAUAAAAUAUACAUGGAAAUGUAAUGGAUAUCACACAAAAGAUGAAUCUAAUGCAUGAACAAUCUAAGGGUAUAGCGUUGGACUAACCCAUUUCUAAAAAUACUUACUAGCGUUGGACUAGCAAGUAAGCGGAGGGAGAAGCCACAACUAGCGUUGGACUAGUGUGGUGACGUUAUGCAUUAACAAUAUAUAGUGAAGCAAAUAAAGCAUAAAUUAAAACAAAUAAACACAUAAGAGCACGUAACACAUAACACGUAAGCAUAAUAUCUAUAUGCCAAAGUCCUAAGAAAAGCGGAUAAAACACAUAACACAUAAGCCACAUAAACACACAACUUAUCUAUUACAUCGGGGAGCGCCUGACUACAAUCUAGGAGGGAAAAAUAUAAUAAAACAAAUCUAAUUAUCCUAUCUAUUACAUUUUUGAGGUAUUUAAAUACCUCUCGAAUCAUUAUAAAAAUUAACUAAAACGUAUAUAAGAAAAUUUGAAUGAAUAUUUGAAUCAAAUAAAUAAAGCAUAUAAAAAUACAUAAACACAUAGGAACACAUAGAAGCACAUAAGAGCACGUAAUUGACAUUGAAAUAAUAAAAAUAGGGGUACCUCCCGUUUGAAGUGGUGACUAAAUGGGAAAUUGGAUUUGCCCUAUUUACCUCCAAAAUUAACAAAAUCAUCAAGGCACCAAUCUAAUUAACAAAUAAAUCAUAACAAAUGGAAAUAAAAAUAAAAUCAAUCAAUUGAAACACUUAAAUGAAGUGUAAUCAAUGACUAUAGAAGAAAAGCAACUUCUAUUUAAGCAAUCCAAUCUGUUAGGGAUCUAAUUGCAAGAAUAAACAAAGUUUUGGGGUAAAUUAUAAUUAUCAUAAAGAUAUGGGAUAAAAAUUAAAUAAAAAUAAAUUUUAGGGACCUAUUUGCAAUUAUAUUAAGGACCUGAUUGAAAGAAAUCAAAAUAUUUAGGGCCAUAGAGAAAAUGCUCAAAGGUACAGGGACUGAUUUUCAAUUUCGUAACCAGAUUUCUCAGCCAAAUGGGCCACUGGGCCAUCAUUUUAUUUAUUUCUGGGCCAAAAACUACCUAAGCCCAACCGAAACCCAAAGGAAAAUAAAUGGCCCAGCCCAUCUCUUUUGUCAAACAAACCCAGCUGAAAUACAUGGGAUUCAACUCCCAAGCCCAUCCGUAAAACCCAAAAAAAAGAACUAAAACCCAAGUCAAAAUCCAACUAAAAACAAACGCAAGCCCACUAAAACAAAUAACCCAACCCACUUUCCUUUUCUUUCUUUUCUUUUCUUUCUCUUUUCUUCCCCAUACGUUUCCUUUCCUUCUUCUUCGGCCAACCGAAGAAGCUUCAGCUGGCAGCCAUGGUGGCCGCCGGUGGCGCCGCCGCCACCGGACCGCCGCCGCCGAUGACCUCUCCGGUCACCAAAAAUCCUCAAAAUACACCUCCCCACUCGAUUUUUCGCGUAGAUUCCAUUUUCGGAGUUUGUUUUUACAAAAGAUGAUCUGAAAGUGGCCAAAAUGUCAAAAUACAGUCCAGUUUUUAUUUUUUAAAACACCCAAAUCUUUCACCAAAAAUCAUAAAAAAUAUAUUACAAUACUCCUUACAACUUCUGCAAUACAACUAUGAUUUAAUCCGGCAAGAAAACAACAUAAAAAACUAAAAUAAAUCAAAACAGUCCCCAAAAUUCAUUUUUUGUUAUUUUUGCAUUUUCACAAGCAAUUAACAUGCAUUCACAGAAAUCAUUUUUUUUUAUGUUUAUUCAUGGAUUCCCCAAAAAUUCAACAAUAUCAGUAACAACAACAAACGAAGCCAAGGGACAAACAAACAUCAAAUCAUGUAUUUAAUUUAAUAAAUUAAGGAAAGGAAAAAACUGAAAAAGAUGAAAGAAGAAUAAAUACCUCAAUGAAAAUUGUAGUCUCUUGACAAAAUUUGAUGAAAUUACAAGCUCCAAUAAUUUUUAUUGGCUUUGCCCUGUCCAAGAGAAAAUCUGAGAGUGAGUAUUUUAUUUUGCUAAAAAUGAGGAAGAGAAUCUGAGAGAGAGCCGAAAGAUUUUUCUUCCCUUCUGCACCCGAGGCCUGAGAGAGGGAGCAAAUGAGGGAGGUCUAUGGCAAUUUUUCUUCUUCUGCUUCUUUUGCUUUCUUUGCGGCCAAAGGACCUCUGAGAGUCAGUCCCCGAGAGAGUUUUCUUUUCUUCUCUCUUUUGUCCGUUGCUCUCCCGAGAGAAAUGAGGAUUCCGUCGUCUCCCAAAUGAGUUUUCCC